rnacentral:sRNA from 2 species
AUACUAAACGUGCCGAAGUUCCUUCAAAGGAACACGGAGGAACCAUUACUGGGGUGAAUCCGCACAUGCGGUAGGGAUUUCCCUUAUCCCGAACCCGUCAGCUAACUUCGUAGGCAGAGAAAGGGAGUGGUU